GUCGUCCCAUCAGCUGUUAAAUCAAAACAAGUUUGAACAAAAAAAUCCAAAGAAAAAAAUCAAUUCAGAUUGUGUGUCGAAUCCAUAGUUCAACAACUAUGAACUAUCUCGGGAAUGUAGGCUGGCCAAACGACACCAAGUGGAAGACGUCUAGAGGCACAAAAAACCUAGCAAAAAAACGAUAUUAGGAGCAAUCGUUCCGAUCGGUACUGGUAAUGGAACAACGGUGGUCAUGUUGCAUUGACAGCUGUCUAGAUAUAUUGAACUGGGUGGAAAACUGCCAACAAAGGAUUACCAGGCAAAUCGGAAGAGGCCUCAGACGAGUACUGCUGAACUAUUCGGGACAGUGGCUACCAGUAAACCGGUUACGAACACCUUUAGACAGUCCCAUUUUCGGAGGAUUCGGUGCUCACAGUCAAACCAGCAGCCGGAGGAUUGUUCUCGGAAAUUGCCAUUACGCAACGAUGAGAGCGCUGAAAGUGUGUCAAUUUUAUUAUAUUUUUUUUUCUAUAAAAUUGACUCGCCAGUGUCUAAACAGUAGAAGUGUGAAGUUUAGAUAAAUAACAAAAAAAGUAACAGGUUUUGUUAGAUAAAAAAAAUUUUUUUUGGUUAGUUUCCGUAAAAAAAACAAGGGGCGCAAGAUGAGACACGUGUUGAGAAAAGCUCGUCUAAAAAUAGGCUUCAAACCAACUUUAAACCCAAUGCAGUUUCAAUCGCCUUGAAUCAUAUAAACCAAAGGUGCAAGUACACAGGGUCAAAUGUUUAACAAGAAAUGUUUAGUUCUGUUUGGCACUAAUGAAAAUUUGAUCGAGUCAUACCAGAUAUUUGAGCAUUGAUCUGUGCUUGGUCCAAUAUUUGACCCUGUGUACUCUCAUCUUAAGAAUCAUAGAAGGAAAUAGAGUACAUAUUUAGAUUUCUAUUGAAAAAGUCAUGAAGUUUCCAGUUAGUCAUGUGGAUAAGGCUUCUGAUCACCGAUCCAGCAAGUUCGACUCCCGUUCUGAUCGGGAACUUUUCUCGUCUUCCCUAGAUAUAGUGUCAUUGCCUAGCUCCACAAUAUAUGUACGAGUUCUUGCAAUGAUGGGCACAGAAAGCUAUUUAAAAACUGUGGAAGCGCUCAAAGAACACUGUUACUGUUAAAGAGGGGUAGGCCAAGUUUCAGUAGAAAUGUAGAGCCACAAAGAAGAAUUGUUUAAGAAGUCAUGGUAUCCAUUCAAGUAUCCAUUCCCUAAGUGAUACAUCUUGCUCUUCUACAUGAAACCUUCGAUCAGGCUCAAGGCCGAUUGUUUCAACCCGACUUACCCAAAAACCUAUCUUCGAAGGCGCUGAUGAAAAAAUCAAAGGCUUGCUCAAAAUCACCGGAAGUGGUAUACGAGUUAAAUGGUCCAGAGCCACCAGGAAGAGUACAACAGUACUCUCGAAGAAUCUUCCCUCAAACCGAACACCAAACGUAUCCCAACAUCCACUCCAACUACCUAUCAUGAUUCCAAAGCGAACGGCAACGAUUGCACCACUCCACUACCGCCAAGAUAGAUCCAUCGACCAAAUCCUAGGCCAAAUGACUCUCUCACAAAAAAAUCCGGCAGUCGAAACGCAAUCCGCCAGGCGGAAUACCAGAACCAGGAGGCAC